rnacentral:lncRNA from 1 species
AUGAACGAGGGUGAACCGGCGGCGAGGACCCGCAGGGGGGACCCCUCCAGUCCCUCGCCGUCCGCCUUCCCCUCGGGCCGCACGCCCCCCUUCCUAUUCCGCUUCACGUGGGGUGUGGGGCAGGACGGAGGGGAGGAAGAGCGAGAAAUGCCCACCUUCUCCGGCCGACUCCGCAGCCGCCCGGGCCCCCUCCUCCCGCCGCGGCGGCCGCUCCGCAGCGAGGCAGCGCCGAGCCACAGGCGCCCUCCCCUCGCCACCCCCAGGCCGCAGCCGCCAGCGAGCCCCGCGCUCAGCGCCGCUCCAACCUCCCCUCCCGGCCCCGCCCGGCCCUCCCCCCGCGCCCCGCAGACCCUUUCAAACCCCCUGGGCUCGCGGCGGCUGCUCGCUGAGGAAACGCUGGCCGCGGCUGGGGCCGGGCCGGCGCGGCUGCGAGCGGGGCGGCGGCGGCGGGGCGCCCGGUACGGUGAGCCCAGCAACCAGGCGCGGGCGGGCGCGCAGAGACGCCGGGUCCUCGCGGAGCACGGCCGGGGCGCGGCGGCGGCGGCAGCGGGAGCCCAGGGACCGCUCCAUCACUGGCAGCCAUGGAGCCCGAGCAUUUUCCUCCCUCGGGGCAGGCGCCUCCGCUCGGCACGCGUCCUCGGGGAGGAAGGGGCCGGCGCCCGAGGCUCCCCGGAGGGCGGCGGGACGUGCGCUGGGGCGGAGGGUGCGACCCUCUCGUGUCCUCUUCCUCCGCAGCCGGCUCGUCCUCGCCCCGCUGCUCCCACGGCCGGGCGGGAGGGGGCCGCGGGCGGCGGCGGCUCCUUUCUCGGCGGCGUUGGUGGCCAGACGGGCUGGUGCAGCGACUGCAGCCGACGCCGUUCAAAGGAACGAGAGGAAAGGCCCCAGAAGAGCAGAGACUGAAGUCCCCUACACAGAUUGAGUUGCGUUUUGAUCAAUAUUUCAGGUAUUUAUUAUCUUUUGCCACACUUGGGUCCGAGCCAAAAGCCAGAUAAGAGGCCAAAGGGAUUAUUUUGCUGGAAAGCUCUUGCUGGUACCAAGUGCUAUCUCUCCAUAGAAAACCUUCUCCAGACAGCCCUGUUCUGAGGCUGUUGGUCAUUGUGGGCAGCUG